CUCAAUGCAUGAUGACAUUCUAUACAAGUUAAGACUAUCUUUUAGAAUGCCAAACCUUAUUCUGGCUGAUGAUGAG
rnacentral:sRNA from 1 species